rnacentral:rRNA from 1 species
UGACCGCGUAUGAAAGUACGUUUCACCCUCGGGUGACAGGGAGACAGGUGGUGCAUGGUUGUCGUCAGCUCGUGUCGUGAGAUGUGGGUUAAGUCCCGCAACGAGCGCAACCCCUACGUUUAGUUGCUAACGCGUGAAGGCGAGCACUCUAGACGAACUGCCGUUGACAAAACGGGAGGAAGGUGGGGAUGACGUCAAAUCAUCAUGCCCCUUAUGUUCUGGGCUACACACGUGCUACAAUGGCCGGUACAGACGGACGCAAAGCCGCGAGGUGGAGCAAAUCCUAAAAAGCCGGUCUCAGUUCGGAUUGCAGGCUGCAAUUCGCCUGCAUGAAGUCGGAAUCGCUAGUAAUCGCAGGUCAGCAUACUGCGGUGAAUACGUUCUCGGGCCUU